GACGAACGCUGGCGGCGUGCCUAAUACAUGCAAGUUGAGCGCUGAAGGUUGGUACUUGUACCAACUGGAUGAGCAGCGAACGGGUGAGUAACGCGUGGGGAAUCUGCCUUUGAGCGGGGGACAACAUUUGGAAACGAAUGCUAAUACCGAAUAAAAACUUUAAACACAAGUUUUAAGUUUGAAAGAUGCAAUUGCAUCACUCAAAGAUGAUCCCGCGUUGUAUUAGCUAGUUGGUGAGGUAAAGGCUCACCAAGGCGAUGAUACAUAGCCGACCUGAGAGGGUGAUCGGCCACAUUGGGACUGAGACACGGCCCAAACUCCUACGGGAGGCAGCAGUAGGGAAUCUUCGGCAAUGGACGAAAGUCUGACCGAGCAACGCCGCGUGAGUGAAGAAGGUUUUCGGAUCGUAAAACUCUGUUGGUAGAGAAGAACGUUGGUGAGAGUGGAAAGCUCAUCAAGUGACGGUAACUACCCAGAAAGGGACGGCUAACUACGUG
rnacentral:rRNA from 1 species